rnacentral:lncRNA from 1 species
GGAUCUCUCACUUGCAGGCUCCUCGUCGCCAUAUGUACACCUUCAUCUCCAUACAGAAACAGACAGAAGCAGAAAUGGUGUGUUGACAGGACAUUACAAAACUCCCUGAGUACAUAAUCUAUCUGCAUAGUUUUUAAAGUUACCAAAUGCUAUGUAUAAUAAUAAAAUUUCCCUUCCUUGGUCCAAACCCCAUUUCUCUAACCCCACAUCGACCGAUAUGAGCCAGCAAGGUGGCUCAGCAGAUAAGGGCAUUUGCUACCACAUCUGAGUUCAAGCCCUAGGGCAGAGGUGGUAGAGAGAGGGAACCAACUCCCAUAAAUUGUACUGUCCAUCUACACACACACACACACACACACACACACACACACACACACUUAAAAAUGUAAAAGAAGUUCACAAAUACAAUCAACUUCUUACAGACUUUUCCAAGAUGCUAUAUUCAUAUACAUACAACACAAACAAAACCGUCUCUUUCCUUUCUUUUUUUUAUAUAGCAGCUGCAUAAUCUAUACACACUACUCUUUUUUUUUCUCUCCAUUGGUUAGCAGCCUCAUUUGGAGAUAAGUCCAUAGUAGACUCUGUAAAGAGCCUUUUCAUCUUUAAUGAAUGGAAAAUGGCUCAUUAUGUGGAUUAAAUGUUUCCAUUAUACAUUUAGUGUGCUUCUGUUUUGUUUUUACAAGCAACAAGAAUGAAUAACCUGUAUGUCACUUUUAAUGGUUAUAACUGUGACUAUUAGAGGCAGCCUAUGGACAUUUAGUCUCAUUGGAGAUUGGAGAUAUGAUUGCUACUGAUGUUCAGUGGGUAGAAGCCCUACCCAAAUGGUCAACAGUACAGAGGCUGAGAAACCCCUCUG